rnacentral:rRNA from 1 species
CCAAUAGCGUAUAUUAAAGUUGUUGCAGUUAAAAAGCUCGUAGUUGAAUUUCGGGAUCAGUAUGUUGGUCAUGCCUUGGUAUGAACUGGUGUCACUGAUUCCUCCCUUCUGACGAACCGUCAUGCCAUUCACUUGGUGUGGCGGGGAAUCAGGACUGUUACUUUGAAAAAAUUAGAGUGUUUAAAGCAGGCUCACGCUUGAAUACAUUAGCAUGGAAUAAUGGAAUAGGACGUUGAUCCUAUUUUGUUGGUUUCUAGGAUUGACGUAAUGAUUAAUAGGGAUAGUUGGGGGCAUUAGUAUUCAAUUGUCAGAGGUGAAAUUCUUGGAUUUAUUGAAGACUAACUACUGCGAAAGCAUUUGCCAAGGAUGUUUUCAUUAAUCAAGAACGAAAGUUAGGGGAUCGAAGACGAUCAGAUACCGUCGUAGUCUUAACCAUAAACUAUGCCGACUAGGGAUCGGAUGAUGUUAAUUUUUUAAUGACUCAUUCGGCGCCUUACG